rnacentral:rRNA from 1 species
AUUGAACGCUGGCGGCAGGCCUAACACAUGCAAGUCGAACGGUAACAGGAAGAAGCUUGCUUCUUUGCUGACGAGUGGCGGACGGGUGAGUAAUGUCUGGGAAACUGCCUGAUGGAGGGGGAUAACUACUGGAAACGGUAGCUAAUACCGCAUAAUGUCGCAAGACCAAAGAGGGGGACCUUCGGGCCUCUUGCCAUCGGAUGUGCCCAGAUGGGAUUAGCUAGUAGGUGGGGUAACGGCUCACCUAGGCGACGAUCCCUAGCUGGUCUGAGAGGAUGACGAGCCACACUGGAACUGAGAGACGGUCCAGACUCCAACGGGAGGCAGCAGUGGGGAAUAUUGCAAAAUGGGCGCAAGACUGAUGCAGCUAUGCCGCGUGUAUGAAGAAGGCCUUCUGGUUGUAAAGUACUUUCAGCGGGGAGGAAGGGAGAAACGUUAAUACCUUUUCUCAUUGACGUUGCCCUCAGAAGAAGCACGGGGUAGCUCCGUG